CGGCGAGUGGCGAACGGGUGAGUAAUAUAUCGGAACGUACCCUGGAGUGGGGGAUAACGUAGCGAAAGUUACGCUAAUACCGCAUACGAUCUAAGGAUGAAAGUGGGGGAUCGCAAGACCUCAUGCUCCUGGAGCGGCCGAUAUCUGAUUAGCUAGUUGGUGGGGUAAAGGCCUACCAAGGCAUCGAUCAGUAGCUGGUCUGAGAGGACGACCAGCCACACUGGAACUGAGACACGGUCCAGACUCCUACGGGAGGCAGCAGUGGGGAAUUUUGGACAAUGGGCGAAAGCCUGAUCCAGCAAUCCCGCGUGAGUGAAGAAGGCCUUCGGGUUGUAAAGCUCUUUUGUCAGGGAAGAAACGGUGAAGGCUAAUAUCCUUUGCUAAUGAC
rnacentral:rRNA from 1 species